ACUCAGUGAAAUUGAACUCGCUGUGAAGAUGCAGUGUACCCGCGGCAAGACGGAAAGACCCCGUGAACCUUUACUAUAGCUUGACACUGAACAUUGAGCCUUGAUGUGUAGGAUAGGUGGGAGGCUUGGAAGUGUGGACGCCAGUCUGCAUGGAGCCGACCUUGAAAUACCACCCUUUAAUGUUUGAUGUUCUAACGUUGACCCCUAAUCGGGGUUGCGGACAGUGUCUGGUGGGUAGUUUGACUGGGGCGGUCUCCUCCUAAAGAGUAACGGAGGAGCACGAAGGUUGGCUAAUCCUGGUCGGACAUCAGGAGGUUAGUGCAAUGGCAUAAGC
rnacentral:rRNA from 1 species